GACGAACGCUGGCGGCGUGCCUAACACAUGCAAGUCGAACGGAGUUGUUCCUUCGGGGACAACUUAGUGGCGAACGGGUGAGUAACGCGUGAGAAACCUGCCUUUCAGUGGGGGACAACAGUUGGAAACGACUGCUAAUACCGCAUAAUGUUAUUUGGGGCAUCCUCGAGUAACCAAAGAUUUAUUGCUGAAAGAUGGUCUCGCGUCUGAUUAGCUAGUUGGUGAGGUAACGGCUCACCAAGGCGACGAUCAGUAGCCGGUCUGAGAGGAUGAACGGCCACAGUUGGGACUGAGAUACGGCCAGACUCCUACGGGAGGCAGCA
rnacentral:rRNA from 1 species